UGUAUGUACGUAUAGGUAUAAAAUAGUACAUCUAUAAAUAUAUUAAGGGCGUGUUUGGUUCGAAGUCGGAUUCGGAAUCGGAAUCGAAAUAAAAAUAAGCUAGAAUAGGAAUCAGAAUGGCUCAUUACCUAAUUCUGUUUGGUUCAUCACCUGAAUCGGAAUCGGAAUAAAUCAUUCCCAUUGUCGGUGUUUGGUUCAGGUGGAUAUAAAAAACAUAAUCAAAUUAAUAUACUAACAUUAUCUUUAUAAUAUAUUAAUUUAAAUUCAAAUUAAAAAUUAAAUAUUAAAAAUUUAUAUCAAAAUUUUGAAAUAAUGUCAAAAUUUUAAAUCUAUUUUUUUUAAAAAAAAUU
rnacentral:lncRNA from 1 species